GGGGUCAAUUGAUCCAUAAACAAGCUUUUCCUUUUUCUUAUGGAAUAUACUUUAUACAAAAAAAAGUACAUUAAAAAAAAGAGAAAUCUUACUUUAGCAUCUACAUAUGGGCAAUAGAGAUAGAGGGAGAUACAUUUGUCAUUUACUGUGUAUAGGUUCUUUGGUGGUUAUAAAUGAUCUCAGAUUUAUGUGACACAAUAAAUAUAGUUGUUCUGCUUCAUUUUUUCUUUUGAAA